rnacentral:rRNA from 1 species
CUGGUGGCCUGACCGCCUGAGCCUUCCCCUUUCUUCCUCCUCUGACUCUCCUCCCCCUCCUUUCCCCACCCGUAUCACCGCCGAGCCGAGCCGAGCCGGGCUGACUCCAACUCCGGCCGCCCCGCCUCACAAGCACCACCACGGAGAAUUAUUAUAUACCGUUACAUAUCUUAAAAGAGAUUACAAAUGGAUUCUCAGCGGACUCAAGAAUAGGAAGGGGUGGGUAUGGAGACGUUUACAAGGGAGUUUACAAUAGGAGAGAGAUUGCUGUGAAGUUGCUUCAUGUUGAUACGGUGCUAGGACUUGAUGACCAACAAUAUAUCAAUGAAGUUGGUAACCUUUUGAAGGUUAAGCAUCCAAAUAUCGUACAGUUACUUGGCUAUUGUUAUGAAAUACAGAAUGAACUAAUUGAACACAAUGGUGCAAAUCAAUUUAGCCAACACAUAUAUAGUCCUCUGCUUUGAGUACUUGCAGUGUGGAAGCCUAGACAAGCAUCUUUGUGCACAAUCUUUCGCACCUAAUUGGAGCACACAUUACAAUAUUAUAAAGGGGAUCUGUGAAGGUUUAAAUUUCCUUCACGAAUGCAAACCACAAAUUUGUCAUCUUGAUUUGAAGCCGACCAAUAUAUUACUAGACAGUUCCAUGGAGCCUAAAGUGGCGGAUUUUGGAUUGUAAAGGCUAUUCACUCCAUCACACACACAUAUCACACAAAGAAUCAUAGGAACCCGGAAGUACAUGCCACCAGAAUUCCUUAAUGAAGGCAAAAUCUCACCUAAGAAUGACGUCUUCGGUUUCGGUGUUGUAAUGAUCGAGAUAAUGGCAGGACCUGCAGGUUACUCCAAUUCUUUUGAAAUGCAUGAUGUGGCACAAUUAAUGCAGCAGGUACUUACCAAUUGUACAAUGAUUGAAGCCACAUCGAAUAACCGAUCAGAGGAAUUACGUCAGGUGAAAACGUGUAUCGAAUUAGCAAUGCGUUGUGUGGAUUCAGAAAGAGACAAUAGGCCCUCUGUAGCAGAUAUCCUAGAUACCCUGAAUAAGACAGAAACUCAUAUUCCCAAGAGACAGCGUUGCUCUCAAAUCAGUGUUCCCGGGCUGGAGAGGGCCAAGAAGAGGAAGAAGACGGGAGGGAACUUGAAGGGGAUUGCAAAAGAACGUACCCAUUUCACUGUCAUGCAAGAAAAUGCCCCUAGUCUGCUUGAAAACAGGGAUCACCGGGAAACAUCAGCAAAGAUAGGAGCAGAAGUCGUAGGGAGGGAAAUGGAAAAACAGGAAAUUAUGGCUCAUUUAUCUGGGAGUACCACACAAGAGAUCACCUUCCUUUCGAUAUAUGGUAUUGGAGGCAUUGGGAAGACAACCAUGGCACAAUUUGUUUUCAAUGAUUUCCAGUUCAAAGAGUACUCUCGGGUUUGGACCUAUGUGUCCCAGACAUUUGAUUUAAAGAAAAUUGGGAAUUCUAUAAUAACACAACUAUCCGGUAGCAAGAGUAUGCAUACUGACCUUCCGAUGAUAGAAAAUAGCCUACAAAAGCUCCUUUCUGGUAAGAGGGUUCUAAUCAUCUUAGAUGACCUGUGGGAGAGGGAAUCCCCUCAGUUAAAAAAGUUGGAGAGUAUGCUAAAUCUGGGUGAAGGCGGCAAAUUGGUGGUGGUAGUAACCACAUGAGAAGAAUCUGUUGCACAUAAAAUUCACACUGGCACAGUGAAGCCAUAUAAGCUAGCUCCCUUAACAGAUGAAAUUUGUUGGACUAUCAUAAAAAAUAAAAGUUCAUUUGAAAAUAGAGCUGAAAGAGCGCAGUUAGAAUUGAUCGGAAAGGAAAUUGCAAAGAAGUGUGGAGGUGUGGCUUUAGCAGCCCAGUCUAUUGGGUAUAUGUUGUAUGCUAUGGAAUUUGAUGAAUGGGUGUCGGUGAACAACAGUGAGAUCUGGGACGUGCUUGCCUCAGGAGAAUCAACUCAUCAUGUUCAUGCAUCCUUGCUGCUAAGCUAUCACGUUAUGGAUAAAUACUUGAAGUUAUGCUUUGCUUAUUGUGCAACCUUUCCAAAAGGUCACAAGAUAGCUAAAGAAGAUCUAGCUCACCAAUGGAUUGCUCUUGGACUUGUUGAGCCGUCAAGGACAUUCUCUGAUAUACAAACCAGUCAUAAAUAUAUUCGUCAUCUUUUUGGCAUGUGCUUCCUUGAACAUCCAAGGUCACAAUGGACUUAUAUGGACGUCGAUAAUGGAUUCUUGAUCAUGCAUGACCUGGUGCACGAUCUCGCAAGAUCAUUUCUGGCUGAUAAAAUUAUUGUAGAGAGUCCUGCCUGCCAAUAUGCAUGGCUGACAGAUCAUAGAAAGCUAUUCAAGUCAUCAAUGAAUCCACUCACCAAGCUAUUUAUGUCAUCAAUGAAUCCACUUGCCAAGCUAUUUAAGUCAUCAGUGACUCCACUCGCCAAGAUAAGGGCACUGCAUUUUCUCGACCGUGCUUACUUGCAGCUUAAUGGUGAAGCUUUUUCACCGGCUAAAUGCCUCCUUGUCCUGGAUUUAAGCAGAUGUUGUGCACAAAAGCUGCCUGAUUCUAUGGGUCAACUGAGACAGUUGAGGUAUCUCGAUGUUUCAUGGAACCCCGAGUUUACUGAAUCUUCUGAAUACCAAGCAUCACCGGAGUCUAUAUUGAUACCGAAAGCCCUGGGUUCCCUUAAUGAACUCCAAUAUUUGAAUUUAUCAGGUCGCGGAAGACCCAUAGGGCUGCCAGAGGUCAUCAGCAAACUCACGGAACUCCGGUAUUUGAAUAUAUCUCAUUGCAAGGGUUAUUAUUUAUUGGACAUCCCAUCAGCAAACCAAAGUUUCAUUGACUGUAUCGGUACCCUUCCUAAUCUGGAGCAGCUGGACAUGUCUUUUAAUAACUAUGGUUUCUGUGUACCUGAAAGUUUCAGCAGGCUCAAGAAGCUGAACCUCUCCGGCUGCCAGUACAUUGCUAGCCUUCCAGAAAAUGUGGGGAAAGUGGAUAUUCCAAGGCUUUUUGGCUUGUUGUUCCCGCAAAAGGGAGGGUUUCCUGUGCGUGUGGUUGAUAGUGAAUCUAGCAGCAGUCUUGUCUGGCUUAAGCAUACAAAUCCUGAUGUUUUGGGGAUCGCCGAUCUUGAAAAUGUGAGGUCCGUGGAAGAGGCACGCAGUAUAAGGUUGAUGGAAAAACAGAGAAUUAAAGAAUUGUCAUUGCAGUGGAGCGGAGGUGUGAGUUCUGUGGAACACAUGGAGUUGCUAACAGAGCUAGUGCCACCAAGCUCUGUAAAGAAUUUCAAGAUAACACGUUACAAGGAUGUCAUGUUUCCGCACUGGUUUAUGCAUAUAAACAAAUAUCUUCCUAAUCUUGUGAGUUUGGAGAUGUGGGGUGUGCUUUGCCACAGCCUACCAACAACACUCGUCCCACUACCCAACCUACGAAAGAUUGUUCUCAGCAACAUGCAUAACCUGGAAGAGUUCAACACAGCAUGCUCUAUAGGCGAGGAUGGUGCAAAUGAGCUCACGUUGGCUAAACUUGAGUAUCUGGCGUAUAUCACGUGCUGACAAUGUGCUAUCGUCAUGGGGAGAGUGUGCGUCAAGCGCAGCUGCUUCCUCCUCAUCUUCUUCUGUGAGUAAGCUAGAAGUUGAAUACUCUGAGUUGCCUUUGCACCAGUGGAGAUUGCUUCACCACCUACAUCGUCUUAGUGAUUUAACUAUCUCCGAUUGCAAUGAUCUGACCAUCUCACCACAGAUCUCCCGAGCCUUCACCUCCCUUGAAUCACUGGAAUUUCGUAGCCUGGAAAAAUUGCCAGAGUGGUUAGGUGAGCUCACAUCUCUUCGGCAGCUGAACUUAAUAUCCAUCCGUCACCUACAGGAAUUGCAUGAGAACAUGAGGCAGCUUAGACAGCUGCAAUCGCUCCACCUGCACUUUUGCAAUACGUCGACAUCACCACCGCAAUGGUUAGGAGAACUCACCUUGCUUAAGACACUUAAAAUCACUUAUUGCAAGGGCAUCAUUUCUUUACCGGAGAGCAUACUCACCAACCUCCAAGAACUUUAUAUUUCGAACUGCCCUGAAUUAUAUAGAUGGUGUAAGUUAGAAGAGAACCAGAUGAAACUAGCUCACAUCAAGGAAAAGUUUAUCUAGGAAACAUUCGGCUCGAGGCAUUUGGGAAACACUUCAGUGAGAUGAUAAGUAUGAUUUAGCAUCUCCUGUAUGCGAUCCAGAUGGCAUGUUGACGAUCGAGGAUGGUGGUCCUUGGAGCUCUUCUGACGCCCCAGGCCCUAGGCGUGUACAGCAAGGAGGAUAUGUCAACCGAAGGAGGAGUAGUUAGGCAGGAUACUCGUGUAAUCUUAAUCUCCUCUUCUCUCUUAUCUCUUGUAUUCUUCUCCUCCAAGAUGUACUCCUCAACAACUUGUACGCGUAUCUCGGCUCACACCCGAUCUAUAUAACACGUACCACGUCGGCCAGGAUAGGCAAGACGUUUCCCGCAUAGUCGCACAUGGUAUUAGAG